ACACUAGAAUCACACUGAUACCGUGUAUUCAGACAGUUAAUACACCGAGUAAACCAACGAAAACACUUCUGAGACUCAUUCUUGUGCGUGAUUGUAUUCUCAAACACUUCAGUGCGGUGAGCAUUCCGAGAAACCAGUCAAUCGAGCCCCACGAUGAUCUCUCACAACGCACUUGCUCAAUUAUGUUGAAUUAAUUGUUCCGUUGAUGUGGAAAUAACACUAAGAAGCUAGUUUAUAUGGACUUAAUUGCUUUGUGAUUGAAGAAUAACGUACUGAUUUUCCACAGGGGGAAACGUGACAAAGGGAAGGCCUUCAGGUAUUGUUUUGGCAAGCUAGGAGAACACAUCUGACAGACAAAAAGGUUUCAUCAAAGACACACAGACAGCUCCUGAAGUAAAGGACCUACACAGGACCUUCAUAUCAAGGACAUUGACUGUGUGGAUCUCGAGGUGCAGUUACCCAAAAGUUGCUACCCACGGAAUACCAGGUUUUGAGGGAUCCUGCCAGAGCAGAGAAUCAACAGAUACAUUGAAGAGGAGACUCCGACAUGACCGCCGGCAUCUUGUGUUAUUCACCCCCACCAC